rnacentral:lncRNA from 1 species
UUUCUUAGCCGAAACCAAGAAGGAAGAAAGCCAUUAAAGCUUAGUCAAGUUUCGGCCAUAUUCAAGCUUAAAUUCAAGGUUCGUUUUUGUUUGGUUUUCGAUAAUUUUUACGUUUUUGAGAUCGUUGCUUCGAAUACUUUAAAACCCAUGCCUUAAUUUUAUGAAUUGUUGAUGAUUUUGAAAUGUAUCAUUGAUGAAUGCUUGAGCUUUGUGAUAGUUGAUGAUGAAAUAUGAAAGAUAUGUGAAAGAUUAAUAUGUUUUGUUUUUGAAUUUUUGAUGAAUUUGAGAAAUUAGGGUUAAAUUGUAAAAAUAAAUUUUUGAGGGGAUAAAAUGUAAAAUAAAUGAAAUGUGUGGGCUUGUAAAGAUACUAGGAAUAUUCGACCCUAAAGGAGUGUAGUCAAAUUUUGUGUAUUUUGUGUUUUGAGCAAAAAGAACUAAAUUGUAAAAAGUGUGAAAUGUUGGGGUAAAAUUGUAAUUUGCCAAUUUAUGCGUUUUUAGGCUAAAUUGAAUAGAAUGAUGUUGAAAUAAGCUUAAAUUGAAUAUGUUUAGAUCAAGAAUUAAAGAAAACAAAUUUGGAUCGGGGAAAGACAAAGGUGGUCGAGUAGUUGAUUUAAUGGUCGACGACAUUCGAGGUAAGUCUAUUAGCAAAAUAAUGUUAUUAAACUAGAAUAUAUAUAUAUAUGGAAAUCUAUCAUUCAUUUAAUAAGUUGAAUUAACUUUGUUAUUUUCAUAUUGUUAGCCGAAUAUACAAGUUGAAAUUGGUAGGUUAAAAUUUUAUUUUACAAAUAUUGUAUAUGUUAUAUCAUGCAUGUUUGAGUUUAAUAAGAUGAAAUUAAUAGCAUAAAUUAUAUAAAUAUAUGAUGAUGUUCGAAUGUAUAAUACAAAUUCUUUGAGUUGAAUUUAAUGCUAUAAAUGGUAUGUAUGUAUGUGGUUCGAAUAAAUGAUGCAAUGUUUUGAAUUGAAUGUAAUGUUAUGAAAUAUAUAUAUAUAUAUAAAAGAGGUUAGAAUGUAAGAUACAAGUUUCUUUGAGCUGAAUUUAAUGUUAAUAAUUAUAUAUAAUUAUACAUGUGAAUCGAAAAUAGGAUUUGAGUUUCUUGAGUUGAAUUUAAUGUUAUGAAUCAUGUAUAUGUGGUUCGAAUGAGGUUGCUAUGAAGAGUUGAAUAUAAAACAAUUCUUAUCGAGAUAUAGUUAUUGAGAAAGAUUUAUGUGUAUUAUAAAGAUUUAUAUGAAAGAUUAACUUUGUAUCUCAGUUAUUCAGGCUAUGUGCCUAGCAGGCUUAAUGCCGGUGAAAUAAUUCAGACUUUACGUCUAGUAGGCUUAAUGCCGAUGAUACAUUUCGGACUAUAGGUCUAGCAGGCUAAGAGCCGGUGUACUGAAUCAGGUUUUAAAACCUAGCAGGCUAAGUGCCGGUGAAUCUGUUUAAAUUAUGUGGGAAUAUGCAAUUGAUAUAUCUAUGAUUUUGAUUAUAUGAAAUUGAUGAAUACAUAAACAUUCAGUUUUUACAUACUUGGUAAGUAUACACCUACAUACAUUCGGGUUUUGCAUUGGUUAAAUAUAAUUGUAUGCUUUCGGUAUAUACAAUUAAUAAAAGCAUAUGUAUAUUAGGUAAUAUGCGAUUGUUGAAUUUAUAAUUACAUAUGGUGAUAUGCGGUUGUUAAAUAUAUAUAUUGAGCCUAUGUGUUUGAUAAUUAUUUAUGUAUGCAUUUGAGAUAUAUAUAUUUAUAUAUAUAUAAAUGUUCUCAUUUAUAUGUAUAUGAAGAAUAUAUAUAUAUUCGAAUGUAGAUAUUAGCUAUGCAUUCAGGUAUAAAUUUAUAAUGAGUAUAUAUAUACAAACAAAUGAUUAUAUAAUGUGAUUGGUAUAUAUGUGCAUUCGGAUGUAUGCAGGUAAUAAAGAUGUAUACACAUUCGGUUAUAAAAAUUGUUAAACAUAUGUUUAUAUAUAUAUGCAAUCGGAUAUUUAUGUAAAUGUGUAUAUACAUUCGGUUUAAAUUGUUGAUAAUUAUGUAUGCAUUUAUCUAUAAGUAUUUGUUAAUAUACACAGUGUUUGUGAAUUCAUUUAGUGUACCAGGAAAUUCUCUAAUUUAUAUAUAUAUAUUUGUAGUUAUGCUAUAGACUUACUAAGCUAUAAAAUCUUACUUUGUUUACUUAUGUCUUCCUAUUUUAUAGACUUAAAGAUCAAACUUCAAGCUCAGGGAUUGUCAGCAAGUUCAUCACCCUUUCUAUUAUUUUGGUAUUUAAAAUAUUAAAUUCUAACUAUGGCAUGUAUAGACUAGAUAAAUGUUUUGAAGGUU